rnacentral:rRNA from 1 species
UACGUAGGUGGCAAGCGUUGUCCGGAUUUACUGGGCGUAAAGAGCGCGCAGGCGGCUGGUCAAGUCCGAUGUGAAAUCUCCCGGCUCAACUGGGAAACUGCAUCGGAAACUGAUCGGCUUGAAGGUGGGAGAGGGUAGUGGAAUUCCCGGUGUAGUGGUGGAAUGCGUAGAUAUCGGGAGGAACACCAGUGGCGAAGGCGACUACCUGGCCCAUUCUUGACGCUGAGGCGCGAAAGCUAGGGGAGCAAACCGGAUUAGACUA